UACGGGAGGCAGCAGUGGGGAAUAUUGGACAAUGGGGGGAACCCUGAUCCAGCCACGCCGCGUGUGUGAAGAAGGCCUUAUGGUUGUAAAGCACUUUAAGCGAGGAGGAGGCUACUGAGACUAAUGCUCUUGGAUAGUGGACGUUACUCGCAGAAUAAGCACCGGCUAACUCUGUGCCAGCAGCCGCGGUAAUACAGAGGGUGCGAGCGUUAAUCGGAUUUACUGGGCGUAAAGCGUGCGUAGGCGGCUUUUUAAGUCGGAUGUGAAAUCCCCGAGCUUAACUUGGGAAUUGCAUUCGAUACUGGGAAGCUAGAGUAUGGGAGAGGAUGGUAGAAUUCCAGGUGUAGCGGUGAAAUGCGUAGAGAUCUGGAGGAAUACCGAUGGCGAAGGCAGCCAUCUGGCCUAAUACUGACGCUGAGGUACGAAAGCAUGGGGAGCAAACAGGAUUAGAUACCCUGGUAGUCCAUGCCGUAAACGAUGUCUACUAGCCGUUGGGGCCUUUGAGGCUUUAGUGGCGCAGCUAACGCGAUAAGUAGACCGCCUGGGGAGUACGGUCGCAAGACUAAAACUCAAAUGAAUUGACGGGGGCCCGCACAAGCGGUGGAGCAUGUGGUUUAAUUCGAUGCAACGCGAAGAACCUUACCUGGCCUUGACAUACUAGAAACUUUCC
rnacentral:rRNA from 1 species